ACAAAGAAAAAUACGGCCAGAGCAUACCAAAGUUAGUAUGAAGUAAAGUGGGACAUGAACUAUCAGUGAAAGUUCCAUCGGUGGAAUGGUUUAGCAAUGUUUUGGGAGAUGAAGAGGUUCAAAUAGAAGGGUAAGAAAUGUGAAAAAAUGAUUUGGGUAUAAAUCAUUCGGAUCAUCCAGGUUGUUGCAUUUGAGGAUCAGUAAGAAAGUCAAAACUUGGUCAGUUCAAGGCAGUCAGUCAAAGCAAAGGACUGCAAAGGAAGAGCCGACUUCAGCAAGAAUACCACAAACUUACCACCAUAUUUUGAACUGAUAAAAUUUUUCUUUGAUGUGAAACAGGGGUAGAAAAUUUCGUUUGUUGCGGAGAAGCUCUCUGUAAGAAAAAUCAAGCAUCAGACAGGUUUGAUCGUAAAUUCUCGGGACCCUCCUGGAAAAUAGGACCUAGUUUAUCAUUCAAAGCAAUAGUGAGUAGAAAAGUCUAGCAUAAAUG
rnacentral:lncRNA from 1 species